CAGCCUUUCGUUUGAGAGACACCCAGAGAUAAGAUUUGUUGAACUGAAAAAGGCUCUGAAUGAGGAGUCGAUUAUUCUCCUUGAUGGAAUCGAUUCCUUUGGAUUCGACUCUCGAUUCCUAACGCCUCCGGAUUUCCAACAUUCCCACAUUCCCACAUUUCCCAGCCCUUCAGCGAGGACACUACGCAGAUAGAAAGAGUAGCUCGCUGGAUUUGUCCAUUUUAUGUCCUAGAAAACAUUUGUACCGGUCACACUGAACAGCAGAUUGUUGUCUCAAGCCAGUGCUGAUCAAUGACAGUUUAGCUGCAGUAUGUCAGAGAAGAGAGGAAAGAUGAGUCUCUCACAGAAACAGAGGUCACACUGAACAGCAGAUUGUUGUCUCAAGCCAGUGCUGAUCAAUGUCAGUUUAGCUGCAGUAUGACAGAGAAGAGAGGAAAGAUGAGUCUCUCACAGAAACAGAGUGUAAGAUCAGGAUCACAUGUGUCUGUGAAGAGUGACCGGUCAAAGGAUGGUGACGUACCAGACUUCAGUGAGGAAAAAACAUCUAUUAAAAGUGUAAGAUCAGGCUCACAUGUGUCCAGCUGUGUGUCUGUGAAGAGUGACCAGUCAAAGGGU